rnacentral:pre_miRNA from 1 species
AGUUUUCCUCGGUAGUUAACUGCAACUGGUUUCAUAAUUCGGCAGUUAACUGCCGAAGAA